rnacentral:rRNA from 1 species
UACGUAGGUGGCAAGCGUUGUCCGGAUUUAUUGGGCGUAAAGCGCGCGCAGGCGGCUAUGUAAGUCUGGUGUUAAAGCCCGGGGCUCAACCCCGGUUCGCAUCGGAAACUGUGUAGCUUGAGUGCAGAAGAGGAAAGCGGUAUUCCACGUGUAGCGGUGAAAUGCGUAGAGAUGUGGAGGAACACCAGUGGCGAAGGCGGCUUACUGGUCCAUUACUGACGCUGAGGUGCGAAAGCGUGGGGAGCAAACAGG